rnacentral:misc_RNA from 1 species
GGGAGGGGAGGGUUGGGAAGCCGCGGGCAAGCUGGGGUGCAGGAGCAGGUUAGCUAACACACGUGGAGAGCGGCGGGCAUCCCGAGGCAAGGCUCACUGCAUGCCAGCCAGACCUUUACUAGCUGAAGAUGAAGGUCCUCCUGCUAUUAGGUUGUGGCUUCGUGCUGGUGGCGGCAGGAGGCGAGGACUUGCAGACUACAACAAUGGAAAGCAACACAACUGUGGAAGAAAACCAGGCUCCAGAUCAGCCCACGACUACUCCUGUUACCCACGAAGACACUACAACCACAACCAGCGUAGCCACAUCAGUCACACCAGGCGAGGAAUCUAUAACAAAUAGCACUCUGAGUACAAUGCCUGAUGCGACACUUUCGUCAUCUGGCCAGAGUGAGGAGCCCAUGAUGCUAACAGUGCCUUCCCCUGCUCUUGAGGCUGAAAGCAGCGCACAGCAUGAAGUUUCCAGCACAGCGUCUUCCUCAACGAUCACCAAUUCCACUAUAGUUCCUACUACGGUGCUGACAACGUUGCCACCGCCUCCAUCAACCUCAGAUACCGAAACGACAAGCGUUCAACAGACAUCACUUAACACCACCUCACACCCUCCUGAUAACAGCACACCUUCGCCUGACCCACACCCCACCGCUGCGGGGACCGUUCCACCUGCCACCUCCACAAACAGAUCUACAGAACAAGAGGAAAGUACAUCAUCGGGAAUCUCCAUCGUCGUCACCAGCACCACCAUUCCUACCACCACCACACCACCGAUCACCCCCGCUAGAGGAACUACUGUAGAUCCCACCAAUACUACAGACGUUGCUACCACCAGCACUACUACCACCACCGUUACCAUUAUUGCUACCACUAUGGCCACCACUAACGUGACCAGCACAGACAACGUCACAUCAGAGACCGCCAUCCUUAGCGGGACUCAUGUGGCUAAUGCAACAUCAUCGUCAUCUGGUGUCUGCUUUGGUAAGACAGAGGUAAACACGCUAGUGGUGGUGGCCGUGGUGGUGGCAGUUAACGUGGUGUCCGUGGUGAUGACAGCUCUGUGUGUCCACCGUCUUGUGUCUCGCCGCCUCUCCUGGGACCCUCCCCCCAUCUACCGUCACAGAUCGACUCGUAGUGAAAAGGGGGAGAAACGAACACGAGGCGCGGUGGGUAAGAAUCUGGCAUCAGACAAAGAAUGCAAGGCAGGUGAGGGGCAGACCAGCACCCAGAUCCCCAUACUGAUCACCAACGAAGAUGGCUGGUGCGUCCCCUACAGCAACGAUGGGCAGGAAGGCAGGAAAAAGCGGGAGAAGGAAAUGAGUUCCCCUACAGAAGAUACAGGAGUGUGAGGAGGCGAACAGGCAAGCAAUCAAACUAAAGGCUGGUAUUCUCAAACACUUCUACGCUUCACCUUCACUAUUUCGAAAGGCUUUAUUUAAAAACUCGGCUAAUCAUCUUUGUGGCCUUGGAAAAUAGUUGUGGUGAGAGAGCAAAGCGUUUCUGAAUAUGGACGUAACAAAGAAACGCGUUGUGUGUGUGUGUGUGUGUGUGUGUGUGUGUGUGUGUGUGUGUGUGUGUGUGUGUGUGUGUGUGUGUGUACGUACAUUAUACAGUAUAAUUAUGUAUGGAUAGUUCAUUACAAGUAUAGCAAUCUACGACUAAUAGGAAAUUAUAACUGAUACAAAUAUAGAGACGAAGUAAAGUAUUAUGUCCGCUUCCCAUUAGUAUAUAUAGCUGCUUUUAUGUGUCAGUCCUGUACGAGCGAGUUAGUAGUAUGCAUUAGAGUUAUCGUUUUCUCAUUAGUUAUUGACCGUAUCCUCAAAACGUAUUAGGGGCUUUUCUUGAAACAUGCUAAAGUGGUGGAAGGUUCUCUCUCUCUCUCUCUCUCUCUCUCUCUCUCUCUCUCUCUCUCUCUCUCUCUCUCUCUCUCUCUCUCUCUCUCUCCUUUUUAUGAUUGUGGUGAUAAUUUAAAAAGGAUUCUGCAGCAUUAUUGGAAAUAAGUCACCCUUUAGGAGUUGACUAAAUCUCUACCCUUUGAAAGUAGUCCCAAUGAGAGGCCAGUUUCGAAAUAUGAACCUUUGUUUUCCUUACGUAAUAUGUGCACGAGUAUAUAUUUUUAAGGUGCUCGUAUGUGUUACAUGAAUAUACUGAUAAAUAAAUGUUUCAUUAUUUCUGA